CCGUAUCCCGCGACCUCCCACUUAAGCUACACCUCUCAUGUCUCUUCACAGAGUCAGACUAGAGUCAAGCUCAACAGGGUCUUCUAGUCUGAACAGCACACGU
rnacentral:lncRNA from 1 species